rnacentral:lncRNA from 1 species
AUACUACCUAUGAAAGGUUUUGUUUUCAGUUCACAGAUGGAAACAUGAAGACUAUAGAUAGUAAAUCACCUGCUGAGUGUCAUAUCUAGAAAGUUGUAGGAAUGGAACUUAAACUUGUGAAAUUUAGGACCUUUGCAUUGGUCGUCCCUAUCAGAGGUAUUCACCACAAUUUUAGAAAGUUCUUUAAUGUAGUUAUUCAUUAAAAACAUAAAAAUAAAAACAAAAUAAAAUUUGGAGUCAACAAUUACAAUUACAAUUUGUAAUUCAACAAUUACACAUGAACCCACCACAUCUGAAUACUCCUUCAACUCUCUCUGCGAACCUCUCUCUCUCCUCAGAGACCAGGGUAUUCACAAGCACGGAGCAGGAAUGUAUUUCACAGAUGGCCAACAUCUCAGACUCAAGCAGAAUUGUCCUGAGAAUCAAAGGAGGGAAACCUACAGAAGUUAUGAAGUAUUUAUUAGUCAUUUUUGGAUGGUGGUAGGGAGUUCUGAAGAUUUGCUUACCCACCAAAAUACAUCCGCAGGCCUUCUUAUAUUAUAUUUUGAGACAUGGUCUCACUAAGUACUUUAGGGCCUCCUUAAUUUGCUUGAGGCUGGCUUUGAACUUAAGAUCAUCCUACUUCAGCCUCCUGAGUCCUAGAGUAACAGUCAAGCAAAACCACACCCAGCCUGGGAGCAAUGUUCUAAACUGCUCCUCCAGUCGAAUCCCCUUUAUGUAUAGUUUGCCACAUGAAUUUCCUUGGUUACUCUUUUGGCUGUGUUCAUGGUAACUCAACCCUUGGCCUCCAGAAAAUCCCUUCCCCUGUACUAUCCAUCUCUAACUUCUUCUUAUCUUCUCUCUCCUUUUGUGUGUGUUUGUUUGUGAAGGGACCCUGGAUAUUAAUUAAUUACUUUAUUUAUUUAUUUACUGUACCAUGGUUAUUUUGAAUUACCAAAUUGAUUAGAUUAAGAGAUGCAGAGGAUUAAGAGGCUUAUGGGUGUGUCAAUGAGGAUGUGUCUAGACAGGAUUGGCAUGUGGGAUAGCCAAGAGAAACGGAGACCUCAUUAAGCAUGGUCAGUACCAUCCAAUAAGAUGAUGGCUUGGAUAGAAUGAAAAUUGGAAGAACAAGGAAAGCAGCAGCAGAUGCAAGCUGAUUCCUCUUGAACAGUUCCUGAUUGCUGCUGUGAUUGAAUGUCAGACUCUUGCUUCUUCCAAAGCAGGCUCUGCCAGUGAUUCUCCAGAAGCCUUUGGUCUACUACGAGGGGAGCACCCUGAUUUCUCUUGUUCUGGGGAUUCAGCCUCUUGGACUGUGCAGAUACUUUGUUUUUCCAGUUCUCCAGCCUACAGACUGCCAUUGUGGAUGAUCCAGCUUCUGGUGCGUAAGUCAGCCUAAUAAGUUCCCUUCUUAUAACCAUACUUCCUGUUGAUUCUAUUCCUCUCCAGAACCAUAAUGCACAGGGAUUGAGCCCAAACUGCUUAAUCACUGAGCCACAUUCUCAGAAUUUUUUUUCCAGACAAUGUCUCCUAAAUUCUUAGGGUCUAGCUAAAUUGCUGAGGCUGGCUUGAACUUGCAAUCUUCCAGCCUCAGCGUCCUCCAAGGCUAACUAUCUCUCUCUCUCUCUCUCUCUCUCCCUCUCUCUCCCUCUCCCUCUCCCUCUCCCUCUCCCCCUGUCCCUCUCUUUCUCCCUCUUCUCUCCUUGGAGACCAGGUAGUAAGGUGUAGGCCAUGACAACCAGUGAUGGGUAUCCUGGGAUUUUUCAAAAUUGUUUUAAACCUGUCUAUCAACCAAAUCAAUUCAAUCAAACACUGACAUCCAAGAUGAUUGAAUUUUGCCUUCAGCAGGAAUGUACUCAUGAGAUCCUAUCUCCACUAACUUCUACACCGUGUGCUUCAGGUCAAGAGUAGCCCAGAAGAGUAGAAAUCAUCAGGCAAGGGGACUCUGAAGACUUUUCAUCCUCUGAGAGUCUGCAGCUAUGGAGAAGCAUUUCCCCAGCUGUGUGAAGGAGGCCUGGGAUUGUGGCUCCAGGGCCACAGGCACUGCUGGCCCUCAUGGAAUCAGAUCCUAGGCCCUGGCCUCUGUCUUUUUAUCCUAGGCUGAGCUUCCUUUCUUGGAAUCACCAGGACUUUAACCGUGAAACACUUUUAAAACCCUGUGGGUUUCUUGGCUCUGACUGCCCCCUCCAUGAAUCCGGAUUGCACAGCACUUUGAGAAGAGGCACAGAGCUGCCUGCCUGCCCAGGCCCAAAGCCUCUGACCCAGCAAGAGCCGCAUACCCCACUAGGAGAAUUGGAUGCCUCUAAGAAACUAGGCAGACCAGUGCCCAUGCUCUUUCCAGCAUUGUGCUGUGCGGAUGUCAAGAGCCACUGCCUGAGGUUUCCACUCCCAUGCAGAGACUUUAGAUUUUAAGGCUCUGGACUCCUGGCUGCCUGCCUUUGGCUUGAGAGCAUUGGCAUCUCUGCGAACAUGCUGCAAUGGAUGAUCAUCUGAGAAGAAACAGUGUUAAAAUAAACAAUUCUCAGAUUAGCAACCAAGUGAGAAGUUUACGCCUUCUUGAAUUUUCAUAAAAUUUUCUGU